UCAACUUCAUACUCAUCUCUUUCAACCUACAAACACAUAAAUCAUUCUCCAAACCUAAAAAUCUUUCAAGCCAUAAAUCCUUCUCCCUCCUUCCCUGUUCUCAACCCAACUCUUCUUUUCACUCUCUCUAUCUAUCUUCUCUCAUCCCUAAUAAGGUUAGAUCUCAAAUGAAUAACUAGAUCUGAAUGAUGAAUGAGACUACUCCAACUACAUAGUUUUUUAUUUAUUAAAAACGUAGGAUCUUCAGAUAAUAAGCUCAUGAUCUCGAACACAAGCUUUUGAUAUUGAACAAAAACUAAAAGCGCAAGAUUUUCGAGAGUGCGAGAGAUGCUUCGGUCAAGGGGCACGUGGUGGUGGGGGAAGGUCGUGAUGGUGCAGGAGGUUAUUGUGAUGGAUGAAUUUGUGUCUACUGUUGGAGAGAAGAAAAAAAAUUCGGUGUUUUGCAUUUUUCUGUAUUUGAUGAAAUUUUUGUGUUAUGCGUUUCUUUACAAACCUCAUCUUCUUCAAUUUUGGGUUGUUUGUUGUAAAGAAGAUGGGAUUAGGUUAAUAAUCACUUUGAAUUUCUACAUGCUUUGGUUACUAAUCACUUUGAAUUUCUACAUCUUUUGAUUUCUAUAGACAGAAACCCUAAUUCCCAAUUCUAAG
rnacentral:lncRNA from 1 species